rnacentral:misc_RNA from 1 species
UCCACCAGAGAAGGCCUGCAGCUGAUAA